UACAGAGGGUGCGAGCGUUAAUCGGAAUUACUGGGCGUAAAGCGCGCGUAGGCGGCUUUUCAAGUCGAUUGUGAAAUCCCCGGGCUUAACCUGGGAACUGCAGUCGAGACUGUCUAGCUAGAGUAUGGGAGAGGGAAGUGGAAUUUCAGGUGUAGCGGUGAAAUGCGUAGAUAUCUGAAGGAACUCAGUGGCGAAAGCGACUUCCUGGACCAAUACUGACGCUCAUGUGCGAAAGCGUGGGGAGCAAACAGG
rnacentral:rRNA from 1 species